rnacentral:rRNA from 1 species
CGGUGCGCCUUAUGCAUGCAAGUCGAGCGAAGCUUUUCAGUAGUUUACUACAGAAAAUGACUGAGCGGCGAACGGGUGAGUAACGCGUGAGCAAUCUACCUUAGUUACAGGGAUAGCCCGAGGAAACUCGGAUUAAUACCUGAUAUUCUUUAUAUUUCGCAUGAAAUUAAAAGGAAAGGUCAGCCGAACUAAGAUGAGCUCGCGUUCUAUCAGCUAGUUGGUGAGGUAAAAGCUCACCAAGGCUACGACGGAUAGCUGGUCUGAGAGGACGAUCAGCCACACUGGGACUGAGACACGGCCCAGACUCCUACGGGAGGCUGCAGCAGGGAAUAUUGCGCAAUGAGCGAAAGCUUGACGCAGCGACACCGCGUGUGGGAUGACGGAUCUAGGUUUGUAAACCACUUUCAGGAGGGAAGAAAAUGACGGUACCUCCACAAGAAGCCCCGGCCAA